GAGCCCUCGGGGCGGCACCGCCGCGGGACGGGGCUCUCCGAGCGGGGCCGGGAGCUGAGGCAGCGGAGACACGGACGGAUGGACGGGAGGUUCUGCGGGGCUGGGGGCGGCUGUGUUGGAUCCACCGGGACAUCCACUUCAGAAACUCUUACACUGCUGUUUGUCAGUGCCUGGAUGUGAAAAAUGAAUGCACACGAGGCCACUCAGAAGGACGGUCAUGAGAGUUCCCUCCUGUGACAAGGAGUCCAAAAGCUACAGGAGCUGAAAGUUUAAUGUCCAUUUUAGUGUGGAAGACUGGCUUCCAGUUAACCCAGGGAUCCAGAAGUUCCUCCAUAAGUGGGCAGAGAGACCCUAAGGCUGUGUGGAGUCACCCCGUUCCCAGUGCAGAACGAUCAGAAGGACAGAAAAGCUGUGAUCCUGCUACAGAACCUUGGUUUUCCUGCUUCUGAAACAAAGUUAAACAGGUGGGAAUCCUGUGGAGCUUUUUUUCACGGUGAGGUUCUGAAAGCUUCUUUGCAAAGGAAGUUUUCAUCCUGGCUUAGGGCCUGAUGUUAUCAGGUGAGGAGCAGCCUCCAUUUUUCCCAGUCUCUGCAGGAAGACCUGCCAGGAGUGCCCAGCUGGCCACCCUGAUGCUGCUUUCAAGAGCAGAACUUCCUCCUUGGGCAGUGAUGCCACAACGUCCUGUGUGCUCCUGCUCCUUCUGAGGGAAGCCCACAGGAAAGGACAGUGGCUGAGGGCUGUGUUGUGUCCCCACUGAAGUCCUGCUCCCAGGAGCCUGGAAAAUGGCUGAUCAGGUUCAGGUAGUUUGGGUUGCCAUCCUACUGUUCCUGAAGUUUUAGCUCCCUGGAAUGAAGUAAUUUCUGCUGUGUAGAGCUGAAGCUGAAAGUCCCCCAAAGCAAGUGCCUUGACAGUGCUGGCUGUCUUGUACCAAGUGAAAAUGCUGCCUGCUGGCAGCAGAGUGACAAAUCAAGAAGAGGCAGAAAUCCAUCUCAUCCUGAAAGAAUCAAAGUCUUUCUCGAGGUUUUAGUGAGCGUGAAGCUUGGAUGGAGCAGUUUUUGGAUAUGGAUGUGUGUGUGGUGAUGCUGGGCUCUGCUGGCUCCUUUCACCUUGGGCUGAGCAGAGCCAGCCCCAAGCAGCUGCUCCUGGCAGUCCUCGUUGUCCUCCUGACAGAGACAGCAAGGGAGAUGUGGCUCUGAGAGCUCCAGCUGCUGGGAAAAGGCCCAUCACUGAGGUACUUCAGCACAACCUUCAUUUUAAAUGGCUUCCCUAGCGUUGCUGCAGUGCUUCCAGUUGUGGAAAUGCUGAAGCACCUGCCCAGACUGGAGUGGGAAAUACUGAUAAGAGAGGUAUGAUAUUGUCUGAGGAGACAUAUCUUAGGCUGACAGCAACCGUGUGUUAAUUGUCCCCAGUUUCCACAGCACAUUUCUGUGGCAGGGUCAUGUUCCAAGUCAGAUGUGCUCUGCUAAGGAGCUGUAGCCUGACAAUUAUCCCUACCCCAAUAGCAGCAAUGCCCCAGCAGUGCUGGUCUGGGAAUGUAAUCCUGAACCAUGGCCAGCAGGGAGGCUCGUGGCUGUCCCCUAACCCAGGCUGAAGGUGAGCAGAACCCAGAGCCUCCAUUCCCACCCCUGUGCACAUCUGCCAUGGCAGGAACUGAAUGAAGGGAACAUGGAUGUGCUGGAGCCAUUCCUGCUGCAGUGAUUAGCCUGCUCUGUUACAGGCAGGAGUGGGAAAUGUUCCCAGAUGUCCCUGAGGUGCAAGGACCCCUAAGUGAUGGCUGUAAUUGCACAAGAGCUGUUGAUAAUUGCUGGGGUUGCCAGAAAAGCCUUUCAGAGGGACUCUGUGCAGCCAGGGGCUUUUCUGCCUGCUCAGGGCAGUGUGAGAUCAGUCCCGGAGCAGGGGCCAAGGAGCAGACUGAGCAUUGCCCUGGCAGCAGCCCAGGCUGCAGGACCCUCAGCAGGGGUGAUCUGGGCAGGGCACACCUCCGGAUGUUUGUGAAUAACUCAUCAUCACCCCCUCUGCUUUUGGUUUUCCUUCUUUUCUUCACUGCCUUUGAAACAAAGUCUUGCCAUGAAACAUGAAAGUCCGUACAUGAAACCCUUCCAUUAAUAACAGAAUAUGUUCAUCAUCAGCAGAAUUGUUUUCAGGGUCUUUUUCUAAUCAGUUUGAAUAUAAAUAAUGAAAACAAUCAAACCCAGCACCUUCAGCUUAUAUCCAGACUGUCUUUUUCACCUCUUUCUGCCAGAACAGACAAAAUCCCUGCUGGUUAGCGGCAGUUUCUAUGUGAAAUAUUUCUCCUGCCCUGCUGAGCUCCAGUUUGUUUGCCAGGUUUUCCAUAAGCUCUGCUGUCUGUCAGAGGCAGACCCCAGCUCUUCCCAACUCACUGAAGUGCCGUGUCUCUUUUAGCAGUCCAUGAAUUCAGGUGUGUGCAGCAGAGAGGGAAAGAGAAGUCAGAGCAUCAGGACAGGAUCUCACUGAGGAACCAGAGACAACUCAGACAUGAAGCCUCUGGUUUAAAAAGCAUAUAAAUUAUGUUUUGCAUUUAAGUACUUACUCAAUCCUGCAGACGCCCUGAAGAUCCAUCAGUCUUUAAAGCAAAAUGAAAAUAAGCCAAACUUAAUUGCCAGAAUUAGAACACCAAAUUUUGCUCUUUUGCCUAUGUUUAAGCAUUUCAUAAAUGUUCAGAUUUUGCUUGGACACAGCCAUGUACAUCCAGCAUCUUCUAUUUACUUGAUGUUAUUAUUUAGUCAGGAAAUUAUCUAAGAUUUGAGGUUUUUAAUUUUAGGCUUCUGUUCUUCUAGAAAGACAUUUGGAAGACCCAAAUAGAAUGAGUACUUUUUCAGGUUUCUUUGCAGAAGAAAUACUUUAUUUAAACCAAAAUCUGAACUGAAAUUAAUAUUUCCUUUUGAAGAACUAAUAAAAUUAAUUAUUUUUUCUGCAAAGCAGCAUGUGCAUAAAAUCUUUUUAAUUUUUACCAUCUUUGCUCAUCCUGAAUAAUUCUUGGUGCACUUGUGGCAUCAAGAUGGAAAGGGUAAUGGUAUAGCUGAGGGUACAGCUAUGGGCUUCUCUCUCUUUUUACUUGAUCUGGAAAGAAGUGUUCAGUGCAUUUGGCACUCUGUCAUUUUGUCUAACCUGUCACCCUGUGAGAUUCACUUAAAUCUAUCACAUUUAUCUCUGCUCUCCACAGGCAUCAGCCUCUCUCUGUUGCACUGCCACUGCAGGGGAUGGGAUCAUAAACCAGCAAUUAGGGAAGGGUUAAAGAGACCUAAGGACACUGGUGAAGGUGACAGGAAAAUUAAUUUAUUUUUCAGUUCUGGUUUUGUGUGCUGAGAUCUCGAGGAAAUGUUGAAAAUGUUAUCUCAGCAAUUUACACUUGUUUUUAAUGUGAUUUAUCAUUACCCAUUUAGAGCAGAGUUCCUGCUGCUCACUUUAUAGUUUUGUUUUUCGUUGUUUUGGCGAGAUGUGACAUUAAUUUGCCUUCACAUCUUCUAUUCAUUUCAGUUAUGCAAAAACUCCUUAAUAUGUAUUACCACAUGGACUCUGGAAAAUACAACAUAUGGUUUUAGUCAGGACUGGAGAAGUACAUGCAGAUAUAGCAUGAAGAAACACAGAAUUCUCUCUUGGAAGAGGCUGUGGCAAUAUCUGUGUGUUUGUAAGAGAACUCUAAAGCCUCUUACUGAAGGCAGCUAGUCCAUUUCUGUAAUUGCCCUGUGCUGUGAAACAAGCCCAGAGCAGCAGACAGGAAUGGAGUUUAUUUCCUGUUUCUUGCUCUGAGCUUGCACACGAGUGUAAUUCUGUUUUACACCUUCCAAAGCCAAUAGAAAGCAGCUGAGCACAACCUUUUGUAAGUGUUUUUCUGCCAUUCUAGUUUCAUGAACUUCAGAAGAAAGAUGGGAUUGCCCUGGAUCAUAAAUAUUUGUUUGUUAGGAAAAGCAGUUCAGGUGUCAAGGUUUGUGGCAGGUGUAAAUUGAGUGAUUCCUUCUGGGCUUAAAAAUGACUCAACCUCGGCAUCAAAUCCCAAGUUAGAAGGUUCAGAAAAACGCAGAACAACCUAAUUUAGCAUCCAUCACUUGAGGAACCUCUCUCCCUUUUCACUAAGAUGGAUGAACAGAGGAGCCAUGGCAGAUCUGUCAUAUCCACGUGACUUUCUCUGGAAAGCUGUUAAACUGCUAAACUCUGGAAAUCAUCCUAGAGCCUCUCUUUGCUCACCAAGGAGAAUGUCUGUGAGAUGAGGGAGGAUUCAGGUGCUUCUUCCAGGGUUCACAACCCAUGGGGAACGUUACAGCUAUUUUGGGAAGCGAUGAUGUUUAGAUUUGGUCAGGUUAUUGCUAAAUGCCAUUGUGCAGUCUGCCAAGGCUGGUUCUGCUCAGUCAGAACCUAGAUUUUGUUAAUACUGAGAAGAUUAGAAAUUCUGAAA
rnacentral:lncRNA from 1 species